CCGGCACCGGAGCUCUGUGAUCUGCUCUAGUCUAGUGCUAUCUGGAUUGUGUCGUGGCAAUAAAGGACUCGACAGCUGGCGGGCAGACUCACUUCCAGAGGACAAACCCUGACCAGCCCGCAAGCAGUGUGCCUGUGGAAAAUGCUCGAGGGACAGCAAAUGAACGAAGCAUUCGAAGAUGUGUUGAACCACGUUUGAAC
rnacentral:lncRNA from 1 species